rnacentral:rRNA from 1 species
GACGAACGCUGGCGGCGUGCUUAACACAUGCAAGUCGAACGGAAAGGCCCUGGUUUUGUGGGGUGCUCGAGUGGCGAACGGGUGAGUAACACGUGAGUAACCUGCCCUUGACUUGGGGAUAACUUCAGGAAACUGGGGCUAAUACCGGAUCGGAGCUCCUGCUGCAUGGUGGGGGUUGGAAAGUUUCGGCGGUUGGGGAUGGACUCGCGGCUUAUCAGCUUGUGGGUGGGGUAGUGGCUUACCAAGGCUUUGACGGGUAGCCGGCCUGAGAGGGUGACCGGCCACAAUGGGACUGAGGUACGGCCCAGACUCCUACGGGGGGCAGCAGUGGGGAAUAUUGCACAAUGGGCGGAAGCCUGAUGCAGCAACGCCGCGUGCGGAAUGACGGCCUUCGGGUUGUAAACCGCUUGCGCCUGUGACGAAGCGUGAAUGACGGUAAUGGGUAAAGAAGCACCGGCUAACUACGUG